GGAAGAAGGAAUCAGGAGGCAGAGCACAUGGUUAAAGCAUGAGAUGUGAAACCAGGAAGAACCAGGUCUGAACCUUAGCUCCACCAGUGGUAGCUUCAAACCUUGGUCCUUUCUGAGCCUGCUUCUUCAACCGUAAGGUGUGACUACACUGAGCAGUAACAGCAAAACCUGAAAGAGAAUGGAUACAGGUGUUCAUUUCAGAUGGUACAAGUUUAACAAAGUACAAGAGCAACUUAAGGAACUCGGAAACGGGACCCAGAAAGUUGUUUUCUCAAGUGGAUGGAACAACACAAGCAAUCAGUAUCCUGAAACAGGCCCUGUUCCAACAAACUGACCCAGAAAGAGGUUAUACCAAUUAUCUCUCCAGCAAGUAUGAGGACUCCUGUUUCCCUACGUACUCACUACUACAGCAAAGAUAUCAAACAUUGAUACCCACCAAUCUCUGGAUGGAAAAACAAAUCUCAGGAAUCGCUUGCAGGAGGCUCUGCACGUUCCUCAGAUUCAGAGUCGCUGUCCUUUUGCCUGUGAAGCUCCUCACUUUCAGAGUCACUAGCAUUAAGAUUUAAGGGCUCAUCGUUCUCAGAGUCUGUCACAUGAUGUCCUUUGGGGAGGCCAUCUUCUCGAUCACUAGUUUCAUU
rnacentral:lncRNA from 1 species